GUUUUGGGCAUUCCACUGCAAGCAACCGAAGUUUAGAGUCACCAAAUGGCUGGAGGAGGAGGAGGAGGUGAUGGUGCUGCUGCUGCCCUCCUUAUAAUUUUUAGUCUCCAUGGAUGCUGCAGAGGAAGGAGGAGGAGAGCACAGAAUUAUGCUGUGUGGAAUCAGAAUAUUGUCAGUAAUGAAAAGAAAUGGGAGAAGAGAGUUCUAAAAGUAAGAGCCCAGGGAAGAGAAGGAGAGAGUGAAAAAAUAUAAAAGGGGAGAUGCCCUGUAGAAAGGAGAGAUUGGAUGAAAGUGAAGAAGAGGAUAAAGCAGAAAGAAAGAGAAAAGGACAGCAAAAAAAAAAAAAGGUAAAUGAAGAGGUGUGAAAAGGACAGAUAACAAAGGGGAAGUGAGCAGAAGGAUGGGUCAGAAAAUCUCUUUCCAAUUGAGAGAGAGGCAGCAGAUGGGAAACUAUGGGCCUUACUAAAUGAAGCAGAACAGGUCCAGUUCCACUGUGUGCUGGUGCAGGAACUGGG